UUGGCUCUCUCCACAGCAAACAUGGGUAAAUGUGACUGGAGAUUGUAAGGGUAAUGGAGGAGGAAGAAAAUGGCACCAAGAAGAAAAGUUUCAAAAUAACUCAAGUGAGUUCACAGAGAGAGGGGGGAAUGUAAAAGAGAGAGAGUCAUCAACACUCACAAAAAAGAUGAAACAAGUCUUUCGAGGACACCUUUCUGGGUAAUGCCCUUUCAAGAUAGUUUGCAUUAUAUAAAAAUUGGAAAAGUCAUCACUGCAAUGUAAGAUAAAAAGCUGCGCAGAUCUAGCCUUGGAAAAGGCAGGUGAAGGUAGUGGAAGGAAGAGAAAUUGGAAGCUCCAGGGAUUGGCAGUGAGCUCCAGCUGGCAUGUGGGCCUUGGGGGUGUCUAACAAUAACACCAUCUCUGAGUGUGCCUCUAAUUUGAAUUCGCAUAAGAAGGUCCUCCUAUUAUUAUUUUGAGCACAAAGAAUCAAAGGACGUUCAGUGCUGGGAGAAGUUAGCUGUCUGCUGAUGGCAGACAGGCAGAAAGAGGAACUCAAACCACGUGGUGACUUAUGAAGACCUUUUCUUUUCAGGCUGCUUUGAGAGUACGAUCUAGGUUUUCAAU